GCACCGCACAGGCACCGCACCGGGCCGGGGCACGGCCCCGACACCGCACUGACACCGCGCCGACACCCACCGGGCAGCGACCCCGGCCCCGGGACGCUGCAGCUGCAGACACGGGCUGCGAGCAGCGGCGAGCGCCCCGCGCCCCGGCAGCGCUCCCGAUGAGCCCGGGAUGCCGGGAUGUCCCCUCCCAGCCGGGGGUCAGCGCCUGGCGCCCACCCGGAGCCGCUCCUUGCCGUCCCCUCCCCGCAGGACAGCCCCUUCCCUGCCGCCGCCCCCGUGGGGCUCCGGGGCUGCUGUGACUAACGCAGCCGGAGCAGGGACGGAGGAACAUCCCUGCUUUAAACAUUUCCUCCGAGUUUCUGACUCGGGUCCCGGAGCAGCGUGUCCCGGAGCAGCCGAGUCCCACUGCCGGGACGCGAGUUCCCCCUCACGCUGCCCCAGACAAUCCCGCUCGGGUUCACUACGGUCCGAAAUCCUGAAAUUAGGGUCACGCAAAUAGGAAGAGUCGAAGGUGUGUGUCAGCCCCGCGGGAGCCAACAGCCGGACAAGAGCGUGUUGUCUCUCCAGGCUGAAGGAGAAGGUUGUUCUGCCGGUGAGGCUGUUUACACAAAACACAAAGCAAUUGAGGCCACCGCUAAUUUCUUUUCCCUGAGGUCAGAUUGUUUCUACUCAACGAUACCGGAAACAUUAAGGAGUGGAUCGACAAGGGAACACAGUCACGGUCUCCUAAACGCCAGCCUGGCACCCGCAGGGUGACUGGGGCUGCUGACCUGCAGCUCGGCUGUGGCCACGUCCCGCACGGCUGCUCCCCACAAAUCCCUGCUGGCAACAGGGAGGGACAAGCAUUUAAUGAAAUGCUCCUGUCCAACCUGUGUCAAACUGCUGGUCUCUGCUUUGCUACCUCCACCCGACCCAGCUCUUCCUGCCCAAAGCUUCCUCUCCAGCAGCAGAGGAGCCAGAGGAGCCAGGUACCUCCUUCCCAGCCAGGAGUUUGGCCGAUGGAGUAGUGCCGAGAGCUGCUCGAGCAGUCCUGGCCGGUGUGCAGGGAGCAGCAGGCACAUCCCCACUCAGCUCUGCUCGGAGCAUGUGAGGGGCACGGUCCCAGGUGAGCAAGCAGCGCUGGCAGAACACCACGUCCAGCACUGACCCUGCAGGGCUCUGCCUGCUGCUGGAGCACCGCGUGCCCACGGCCACCGGAGCCAAAAGGCCAAGGCUGGCACAAGUGCAGUGCUUGCACUGGCCCUGCCAUGGGUGACUCUUGGGUUGUGAGAUGCAACAUGGUUUGACUCAGCUCUGUUGAAUGAUGCUCUUUGUUCAGGAGGGAGGUGGAGAUGGCACCCAAACCUCAGCCCUGGCUGCAACCCUGGGCAGAUCACUGCAGAGGAUUUCCUCAGCCUGGAGGCACAGAUGGAACCUGCCUGCACGUUCAUCCCAACAUAUCAAGUUAUCAAACUGAAACAGUUCUUGCUCCUGAGCAGCUGCAUUAAAAUAAAACCUCUCUUGGAAUCUUUC